rnacentral:ncRNA from 22 species
CUCUUAUCGAGAGUGGUGGAGGGACUGGCCCGAUGAAACCCGGCAACCGGCAUUUUAUAUGCGUCUUGGUGCCAAUUCCAGCAGCGUUUCGCUGAAAGAUGAGAG